UUUCCCUCAGGAUAGCUGGCACUCGCUUGAGCGAGUCUCAUCUGGUAAAGCGAAUGAUUAGAGGCCUUGGGGCCGAAACGACCUCAACCUAUUCUCAAACUUUAAAUGGGUGAGAUCUCUGGCUUGCUUGAACGUUGAAGCCACGAGAUUCUUUCCACUCGGAUCAGAGUGCCAAGUGGGCCAAUUUUGGUAAGCAGAACUGGCGCUGUGGGA
rnacentral:rRNA from 1 species